rnacentral:rRNA from 1 species
CCUACGGGAGGCAGCAGUGGGGAAUCUUGCGCAAUGGGCGAAAGCCUGACGCAGCAACGCCGCGUGCGGGAUGAAGGCCUUCGGGUUGUAAACCGCUUUUAACAGGAACGAAAAUGACGGUACCUGUAGAAUAAGGUGCGGCCAACUACGUGCCAGCAGCCGCGGUGACACGUAGGCACCAAGCGUUGUCCGGAUUUAUUGGGCGUAAAGAGCUCGUAGGCGGUUCGAUAAGUCGGGUGUGAAAACUCUGGGCUUAACCCAGAGACGCCACUCGAUACUAUUGUGACUAGAGUUCGGUAGGGGAGCGGGGAAUUCCUAGUGUAGCGGUGAAAUGCGCAGAUAUUAGGAGGAACACCGGUGGCGAAGGCGCCGCUCUGGGCCGAAACUGACGCUGAGGAGCGAAAGCGUGGGUAGCAAACAGGAUUAGAUACCCUGGUAGUCCACGCCGUAAACGGUGGGCACUAGGUGUGGGCUCCAACCAACGGAGUCCGCGCCGUCGCUAACGCAUUAAGUGCCCGCCUGGGGAGGUACGGCGCGAGUAAACUACAANAGAGUAGAGNGNGAGAGUGCGAGAGACACGAGGAGAG